rnacentral:lncRNA from 1 species
GCCAAGCUUUGUGACGUUGAGGUCACUACUGGUAUGUCGGUCAAUAUAUCUAAUUCCAUUUUGCAUUUUUCAAAUGAUGAUAUUGUUAAGAAUGCAAAUCAAUUAGGUGUUUCGUUGGGUAGUAAUGACACUGAAAUUUCUAAUUCUGUUAAUGAUCUUUUAGACCUAGAGGCUGAGCGGGCCUUAGAGAUGAUCCAUAAUAUUGCGGUUGUCAAACCUAUGAGUGAUUCUGAGGUUGAUGCGCUUGGGGUGAGGGUGUUAGAUAACUUUUGUGCGGAUCUUAUGCAACCUACUACUGAUGAGGAUGUUCAGGCUGAGUCUACCGAGAUAGUGUUGGCUAGCCCGUCUGAGACUGGUUGUGAGGACCAGUUGCAGAAUCAAACGAUCCCCAAGCGCAAGUGGAAACGGAAGUUCUACCCGGCUUCCGCAGCGCGUAGGAGUGCUAGGAUACGUACGGCAAAAAAAAUCCAUGAUGAAAUAUGAAAGGAAUAUUCUGGAAUAGCAGAGGUCUAAAGGACUUGGCUAAAAGAAGGUUUCUUGCAGAGGCGUCUGUCGAGCAUUGUUUAGAUUUCAUAGCUCUAUCGGAGACGGGUAGAUAACUUCGCACCUCAAUUUCUAAAUACUCUUUCGGGAGGUAUAGAUUUCGAUUGGCAUUGCUUGCCACCGAGAGGGAGGUCGGGUGGAAUCCUUCUCGGAGUUAGGUGUGAUGCGCUUGAGGUUCGCGGUGUGGUCAUGGGAGACUUUGCUGUCAAGUUUAGGGUGCGCUCGAAGGUUGAUGGGUUUAAUUGGGCUCUUGUCGCGGUGUAUGGUGUUGCACAGCCCGAGCUCAAGCCUGAGUUCUUGGCUGAUCUUGUUCGGAUUUGUGGCUCCGAGCAGUUGCCCAUCCUGGUGGGGGUGAUUUCAAUAUUAUAAGACGGCGUGAGGAUAAGAACAAUGAUAAUUUUGAUGGACGAUGGUCGUUCAUGUUUAACACUAUCAUUGAAAGUUUGGACCCGAGAGAAAUUGAGCUAUCGGGUAGAAAGUUUACCUGGGCGAACGCGAUGCCAAAUCCGACGUAUGAGAAGUUGGACCGAGUGUUGGUUAGCGUUGAUUGGGAACAGAAGUUUCCCUUGGUGACUGUCUAGGCCUUGUCCCGUGGCAUCUCUGACCAUACGCCUUUACUUGUCGACUCUGGUGAACCCACGCACCUGGGGAACAAAAAUGUGUUCUCCUUUGAGAUGGCUUGGUUUGAAAGAGAUGGCUUCCUGGAUCUUGUGGCCAGAGAGUGGGCUAAGGAUUCAGGAGGGAGGACCGCGCUUCAGCGCUGGCAAAAUAAGAUUAGGCAUUUGAGAAGUUUCUUACGUGGGUGGGCUAAGCAUCUGAGCGGGAUUUAUAAGGCCGAAAAGGAAAAGCUCCUUGUCCUUAUACAGUCUCUGGAUGUAAAAGCGGAAACCACGAUACUGUCGGUUGCGGAGCUUCAUGCCAAGCUAGAGGCGGAAUUGAGGCUCAAAGAACUUCUUAGAGAAGAAGGGUUGAAGUGGGCGUUGCGGUCCAAGGUCCGGCGUGUUGUCCAGGGGGACGCGAACACACAAUUCUUUCACAUGAUCGCUAACGGUAAGCAUCGAAAGAAGAGGAUCUUUCAGCUUGAGCAAUAUGAGGGUACGAUUGUAGGACAGGAUAACCUAAAAUUGUACAUAACCGAAUACUAUAAGCAGCUGUUUGGCCCUCCAGAAGAGAACUGUGUGUCUCUGGACGAGUCAAGGGUUGAGGAUAUUCCUCAGCUUACUUCGGUGGAGAAUGAUAUUCUGGCAGCUCCUUUCUCGGAGAAUGAGGUGCUCGAGGCUAUCUCGCAAAUGAAGAAUAACAAGGCGCCGGGACCUGAUGGUUUCCCAGCGGAGUUUUAUAAGAAGUGUUGGCAUAUCAUUAAAGGGGACUUGUUGCCAAUGUUUAAUGACUUGUUUGCUGGGAAGCUUCAUCUAUUUCAGCUAAAUUUUGGAAUGAUUACCCUUCUUCCUAAGAAAACAGAGGCUGUGAGGAUUGAGCAAUUCAGGCCAAUCUGUCUUCUUAAUGUCAGUUUCAAAAUUUUCACCAAGGUCGGGACCAAUAGACUCACACAGAUUGCGCAUUCUAUUGUGCAGCCUACCCAAUCUGCUUUCAUGCCGGACAGGAAUAUCCUUGAGGGUGUAGUGGUCCUUCAUGAAACGCUCCAUGAAAUCCACACGAAAAAAUUGGAUGGGGUUGUUUUCAAAGUGGAUUUCGAAAAAGCGUAUGACAAAGUCAAAUGGCCAUUCCUUCAGCAGGCCUUGCGCAUGAAGGGUUUUGAUGAGGCUUGGCGACGCCAGGUAGAAUCCUUUACGCAAAAGGGAGUGUUGGAAUUAAAGUAAAUGAUGAUAUUGGGCACUAUUUCCAGACACAUAAAGGUCUGCGACAAGGAGAUCCAAUGUCCCCUGUUUUGUUCAACAUUGUGGUUGACAUGUUGGCAAUCCUAAUUGGUCGGGUAAAGGAGGCCGGUCAGGUGGGAGGCUUGGUGCCCAACCUAGUUGAUGGGGGGGGGGUGUCCAUCUUACAGUAUGCUGAUGAUACUAUCAUCUUCAUGGAGCAUGAACUGGCAAAAUCGAGAAAUAUGAAGCUGGUGCUUUGCUUAUUUGAACAAUUGUCUGGGUUAAAGAUUAACUUUCAUAAAAGCGAACCGUUCUAUUUUGGUAGAGCCAAGGAGGAACAGGAGGCUUAUAGGCAUUUGUUCGGAUGUGAAUUAGGAGCUUUACCUUUCACUUACUUAGGUAUACCUAUUCACCAUCGUAAGCUUACAAACCGAGAGUGGAAAUGCGUUGAGGAUCGGUUUGAAAAGAAACUGAGUUGCUGGAAGGGCAAACUUAUGUCGUAUGGAGGCCGAUUAAUUCUUAUUAAUUCGGUACUCACGAGUAUGCCGAUGUUCCUAUUAUCUUUCUUUGAGGAUCCAGUUGGGGUUAGGAAACGACUGGACUUCUACCGAUCAAGAUUUUUUUGGCAGAGUGAUGAACUUAAGAGAAAGUAUAGACUCGCCAAGUGGGAUGUUAUUUGUAGACCUAAGGACCAAGGGGGUUGGGUAUCGAAAAUCUUGAGGUCAAGAACAGAUGCCUGCUUAGUAAGUGGCUGUAUAAGCUUUCGGGUCCGACUGAUGCAACUUGGGCGCAGAUUCUUCGUAACAAGUAUAUGUAGUCCAAAACUUUGUCACAGGUGACAGUGAGACCAACUGAUUUGCCGUUUUGGAAGGGGCUUAUGAGAUUUAAGGUAACCUUCUUUAAUAGAACAAAGUUUAUUGUCGGUGAUGGAAAUGGCACACGGUUCUGGGAGGACACCUGGCUGGGUGAUACACCUUUAGCAAUACAUUACCCAACCUUGUAUCGAAUUGUCCAGCGACGUGAUGCGCUAGUUGCAAUGGUUAUGCAGUCCACUCCCCUUAAUAUUCAGUUUCGGCGGGUGCUUGUUGGUGAGAGAUGGGAAGCUUGGCUCCAUCUGGUGCGUAGACUGAUGGAAGUUCAGCUAGCGCAACAGCCCGAUCAGCUAAGUUGGAAGCUUACUAGGAACGGACAAUUUACUGUCAAGUCAAUGUACACCGAUGUCAUCAAUUCCACGGUCAUUCCUAGUACCAGACAUGUUUGGAAAGUAAAAGUGCCUUUGAAAAUCAAAGUGUUUAUGUGGUUUGUCCAUAAACAGGUAAUCUUAACAAAAGACAACUUGGUCAAGCGCAAUUGGACUGGAUCUACUAGGUGUACCUUCUGUGACCAGGACGAGACCAUUAAGCAUCUCUUCCUUGAUUGUCCUUUGGCGAGAAUUUUGUGGCGCACUGUGCAAAUUGCUUUUAACAUUACUCCUCCUUGUACGGUCGGGGCGUUAUUUGGAACGUGGCUGGAUAGGAUAGAGUCCGAAACAACUAGACAUAUUCGUGUAGGAGUGUAUGCGUUGUUAUGGGCAGUUUGGAACUGUAGAAAUGAUUUGGUCUUUAACAGAAUAACUACUAUUCAUUUUUUGCAGGUUUUAUUCCGUGCUACGGCGCUGAUCCGUAUGUGGUCCUUACUCACUCCGAUGGAGGCCAGGGAGCGUUUGGUUACUGGAUCUGUCCGGUGGGAGAUGGUAGCGCGGGAUAUUUUCAACCGGUUUGGUUGGCGGUCAUGUAAUAGGAUAGGCUAUUAGUGCUCCUAUCUU